GCGCCCAUAGAUCAAUUGGAUAGAUCGUUUGACUACGGAUCAAAAGGUUGAGGGUUCAAAUCCUUCUGGGCGCGCCA
rnacentral:tRNA from 1 species